UACGUAGGGGGCAAGCGUUGUCCGGAUUUAUUGGGCGUAAAGAGCGUGUAGGCGGCCAGAUAGGUCCGUUGUGAAAACUGGAGGCUUAACCUCCAGCUGUCGAUGGAAACCGUCUGGCUAGAGUCCGGAAGAGGAGAGUGGAAUUCCACGUGUAGCGGUGAAAUGCGUAGAGAUGUGGAGGAACACCAGUGGCGAAGGCGACUCUUUGGUCUGUAACUGACGCUGAGGCGCGAAAGCGUGGGGAGCAAACAGG
rnacentral:rRNA from 1 species